rnacentral:rRNA from 1 species
CCUACGGGAGGCUGCAGUGGGGAAUAUUGCACAAUGGGCGCAAGCCUGAUGCAGCCAUGCCGCGUGUGUGAAGAAGGCCUUCGGGUUGUAAAGCACUUUCAGCGGGGAGGAAGGCGUUAAGGUUAAUAACCUUGGCGAUUGACGUUACCCGCAGAAGAAGCACCGGCUAACUCCGUGCCAGCAGCCGCGGUAAUACGGAGGGUGCAAGCGUUAAUCGGAAUUACUGGGCGUAAAGCGCACGCAGGCGGUCUGUCAAGUCGGAUGUGAAAUCCCCGGGCUCAACCUGGGAACUGCAUUCGAAACUGGCAGGCUAGAGUCUUGUAGAGGGGGGUAGAAUUCCAGGUGUAGCGGUGAAAUGCGUGGAGAUCUGGAGGAAUACCGGUGGCGAAGGCGGCCCCCUGGACAAAGACUGACGCUCAGGUGCGAAAGCGUGGGGAGCAAACAGGAUUAGAUACCCCUGUAGUC